rnacentral:tRNA from 1 species
UAGGGGCGUCGCCAAGCGGUAAGGCAGCAGGUUUUGAUCCUGCCAUGCGUUGGUUCGAAUCCAGCCGCCCCUGCCAU